rnacentral:rRNA from 1 species
GAUAAACGCUGGCGGCGUGCCUAAUACAUGCAAGUCGAGCGAACAGACGAGGAGCUUGCUCCUCUGACGUUAGCGGCGGACGGGUGAGUAACACGUGGAUAACCUACCUAUAAGACUGGGAUAACUUCGGGAAACCGGAGCUAAUACCGGAUAAUAUAUUGAACCGCAUGGUUCAAUAGUGAAAGACGGUUUUGCUGUCACUUAUAGAUGGAUCCGCGCCGCAUUAGCUAGUUGGUAAGGUAACGGCUUACCAAGGCAACGAUGCGUAGCCGACCUGAGAGGGUGAUCGGCCACACUGGAACUGAGACACGGUCCAGACUCCUACGGGAGGCAGCAGUAGGGAAUCUUCCGCAAAGGGCGAAAGCCUGACGGAGCAACGCCGCGUGAGUGAUGAAGGUCUUCGGAUCGUAAAACUCUGUUAUUAGGGAAGAACAAAUGUGUAAGUAACUAUGCACGUCUUGACGGUACCUAAUCAGAAAGCCACGGCUAACUACGUG